GACGAACGCUGGCGGCGUGCUUAACACAUGCAAGUCGAACGGUGAAGCGCCUUCCUUUUUGGUGGGUGUGGAUGAGUGGCGAACGGGUGAGUAACACGUGAGUAACCUGCCCCUUUCUUCUGGAUAACCGCAUGAAAGUGUGGCUAAUACGGGAUAUUCUGGGUCUGUCGCAUGAUGGGUCUGGGAAAGAUAUUGUUUUGGAGGGGGAUGGGCUCGCGGCCUAUCAGCUUGUUGGUGGGGUCAUGGCCUACCAGGGCGGUGACGGGUAGCCGGCCUGGGAGGGUGGACGGUCACACGGGGAGUGAGACACGGCCGGGACUGCGACGGGAGGCAGCAGUGGGGAAUAUUGCACAAUGGGCGCAAGCCUGAUGCAGCGACGCCGCGGGAGGGAUGGAGGCCUUCGGGUUGUGAACCUCUUUCGCUAGUGAAGCAGUCCUGCCUCGUUUGUGGGUGGGUUGACGGUAGCUGGAUAAGAAGCGCCGGCUAACUACGUG
rnacentral:rRNA from 1 species